GAAAGCAAAGAAGGGCAUAUGGGGGAUGCCUUGGCUCUCGGAGGCGAUGAAGGACGUGAUAAGCUGCGAUAAGCUGCGGUUAGAGGCAAAUGCUCUGUGAUCCGCAGAUUUCCGAAUGGGGGAACCCAACAGGUCUCGAACCUGUUACACGCAAAGCGUGGGCGAACGUGGGGAACUGAAACAUCUAAGUACCCAUAGGAAGAGAAAAUAACAAUGAUUCCGCCAGUAGUGGCGAGCGAACGCGGAAGAGCCCAAACCGCAGGUGUGGCGACGCAUCAUGCGGGGUUAUAGGACCGGCGCCGCGAAGCGGCAAGUCUGUAGCAGAACCGUCUGGAAAGUCGGACCGUAGCGGGUGACAGUCCCGUACGCGAAACGGACGCGCCAAUUCAAGCCGGCACCUGAGUAACCCGGAGCACGAGAAAUUCCGGGCGAAUUAUCGGGGACCAUCCCGAAAGGCUAAAUACUACCGAGAGACCGAUAGUGGACCAGUACCGUGAGGGAAAGGUGAAAAGAACCUCGAACAGAGGAGUGCAACAGACCCUGAAACCAUAUGCCUACAAGCGGUUGGAGCGGCUCCGUGCCGUGACAGCGUGCCUUUUGCAUAAUGAACCUACGAGUCACCGUCGUUGGCGAGGUUAACGGCAAGGAUGCCGGGAGCCGAAGCGAAAGCGAGUCCGAAGAGGGCGUCUAGUCAGCGGAGGUGGACGCGAAACCAAGUGAUCUACCCUUGGGCAGGUUGAAGGACAGGUAAAACUGUCUGGAGGACCGAACCGGUAAGCGUUGAAAAGCUUUCGGAUGACCUGAGGGUAGGAGUGAAAGGCCAAUCAAACUUGGAGAUAGCUCGUACUCCCCGAAAUGUAUUUAGGUGCAGCCUCGGGCGUUAUCUGACGGAGGUAGAGCGACUGAUAGGAUGCGAGGGCUUCACCGCCUAUCAAGUCCUGACAAACUCCGAAUGCCGUCAGAAGAACCCCGGGAGUAAGGGCGCGGGUGCUAAGGUCCGCGUCCGAGAGAGGAACAACUCAGACCACCGGCUAAGGUCCCGAAAUCCGGGCUAAGUUGAAGACAAUAACGAGGUGGGAUUGCAUAGACAGCUAGGAUGUUGGCUUGGAAGCAGCCAUUCAUUUAAAGAGUGCGUAACAGCUCACUAGUCGAGUGAUCCCGCGUGGAUAAUAAUCGGGCAUAAGUCCGGUACCGAAGCCGUGGAAUCAUGCUUAAUGUAUGAUUGGUAGGGGAGCAUUCCAUUCGCCGUCGAAGGUACGCCGCGAGACGUGCUGGAGGUCAUGGAAAAGCAAAUGUAGGUAUAAGUAACGAUAAUGGAGGCGAGAAACCUCCACGCCGCAAGACCAAGGUUUCCUGAUCAACGCUAAUCGGAUCAGGGUAAGUCGGGACCUAAGGGGCAGCCGCAAGGCGUACCCGAUGGAAGAAACGGUCAAGAUUCCGUUACUGUGUUUGAGAGUGAAGCGGGGACGGAGAAGUGAAACGUCCGCGGACUGACGGAAUAGUCCGUUAAAGGGUGUAGAUAUACGCUGUGCAGGCAAAUCCGCACGGAGUGUCGAACCUGACAGUACCGGGCGCCUUCGGGCAACCGGAUAGUGACGGUAACCAGACUCCCAAGAAAAUCCGCUAAACUUAUCUCAAAUGCACCCGUACCGAAACGGACACACGUGGUCGGGUAGAAUAUACUAAGGCGCUCGAGAGAUUCACCGUUAAGGAACUAGGCAAAUUGACUCCGUAACUUCGGGAUAAGGGGUCCCACCGCAGGGUGGGCGCAGAGAAUAGGUCCAGGCAACUGUUUAACAAAAACACAGGGCUGUGCAAAAUUUAAAGAUGAAGUAUACAGCCUGACACCUGCCCGGUGCCGGAAGGUUAAGAGGAGAAGUCAUCGCAAGAGAAGCUUUGAAUUGAAGCCCCGGUAAACGGCGGCCGUAACUAUAACGGUCCUAAGGUAGCGAAAUUCCUUGUCGGGUAAGUUC
rnacentral:rRNA from 1 species